AAUCCAACCUCAAAGGGAAAUGCCAAAAUAAUUUGAUGAUAUCCUUUUGAUAUGGUUCAAGAUGGCGCCGAGCAUGGCAGCCGUGUUGCGAGCUCCGAGAAAACUCUGCAGUUUUUCGUUUGUUUUACUUGUUAUUUUGUUGUUCUACGUGUUGGAUGUUGUUAGUAUAACUGUCUACGAUAGACACACGCUUUUAAACAUUGGCUCCUACGUCGCGCAACGCAAACCGGACUUUGAGUUCUUGAACGCCGGCGCUCUGUUUACAGACACCGCAUCAGAGCCCUUUGUCUGGGCCGCACGGUCGCGACCGAGGAAACGCCGCCGGAAAAGGGGGAAGAGAGCCGGCGUCCUUGUCAGACUCAGACGUCGUCCCCUCCGACCUCCUCUCCCAACCAUUUUGCUGGCUAACGUUCAGUCACUGGACAACAAACUCUGUGAACUGCGGGCACGCAUCUCAUACCAACGAGAAACAAGGGACUGCUGCAUUAUUUGCCUCACAGAAACCUGGAUGUCUGCAGAGGUUCCAGACUCAGCCAUCGAGCUUACGGGGUUCUCCGUGCACCGCUCGGACAGAACAAAAGAGCUCACAGGGAAAAGCAGAGGUGGGGGCGUUUGUUUCUUUAUCAACCGCUCGUGGUGUGAUGAGAGGAACCUACACUCUAUUAAAUCCUUCUGCUCCCCUGAUCUGGAAUUUCAUAUGCUUCUGUGUCGACCAUUCUGGCUACCGAGGGAAUUUACAGCGAUCAUAAUCACAGCUGUUUACAUUCCCCCUCAAGCCAACACAGACCAGGCACUCAAGGAACUGUAUGGGAAUAUAAGUGAGCAGGAAACCGCUUACCCAGAUGCGGCGUUUAUUGUUACGGGGGACUUUAACAAAGCCAACUUCAGAACAAUAACUCCAAAAUAUUUUCAACACAUCACCAUCAACACACGUGGUGAUCGUGCACUGGACCACUGCUACUCUCCUUUCCGGGACGCCUACAAAUCCCUCCCCCGCCCACCUUUCGGCAAAUCGGAUCACUCUUCCAUUCUGCUCCUGCCUGCUUAUAGGCAGAAACUGAAACGGGAAGCACCCGCCCUCAGGACAAUUCAAUGCUGGUCGGACCAAUCAGACGCUAUACUACAGGACUGUUUUGAUCACGUGGACUGGGACAGUGCUGUGGUGAUGUGACAAUAAAAGUGAC
rnacentral:lncRNA from 1 species